UACGUAGGGACCAAGCGUUGUUCGGAUUUACUGGGCGUAAAGGGCGUGUAGGCGGCGUGACAAGUCACUUGUGAAAUCUCUGGGCUUAACCCAGAACGGCCAAGUGAAACUGUUGUGCUAGAGUGCAGAAGGGGCAAUCGGAAUUCUCGGUGUAGCGGUGAAAUGCGUAGAUAUCGAGAGGAACACCAGAGGUGAAGACGGGUUGCUGGGCUGACACUGACGCUGAGGCGCGAAAGCCAGGGGAGCAAACGGG
rnacentral:rRNA from 1 species